AUUCGCAGGAGGGACAGCACUGAAUGGCUUUGCAGGGCCAACUGGAAGACUGGGCAGCAGUCGACAGAAAGGCAUUGUCAGCAAUAUAUCAGCAGCAUGAUCUCUGAGACCUCUGGAAAAUGUGACUUAUUGCCAUUUUCUGGGAACCCUAGAAGGAACUAGCCAGAGUCCAACAUUCUGAGACGUCAUGACCAAGACACUUUUGAUAUAAGAAAACACUUAGUUGUGGAUGCCUAAGAAUUUCAAUGGUUCAGUUUAUUUUCAUCAUCGUGGGAAGCAUGAUAUUGUGCAGUAAGAAUCUCAAAAUAUUCAGCACCCGUCAUCAUGACCCCAACUUCACCCAAAGAAGGAAGCAAGGCUCACAAUGGAGGUCAAACUGUGGACACAGUUCUUUCUUGCUGUCACUAGCUGGAAUGAGAAUCGAUUACCUCAGUCACACUCUACAAAUAUGUCUAGAAAUAUUGGAGAGACCUUAAUCACAAUUCUCUACCUACUCCAUUAUGCAUGCUUCGGCGAUGCAUGUAGAUGUGUAACUGACUGCAAUCAUGUGGUAAAUCCUUUAUUACAGAGAAAACCCCAAGGAAGAAAAGACAUAACAUUUAAACACAUUAUAAUUAUUUUGUUUAUAUCUUGAGAUUGUAAUUACAUCAUUUAUCUUGUUUCUUUCCUCUCGCCAAACCUUCACAUAUAGCUUCUUUGUUCUUUUUUCAAAUUUACAACCUCUUUUGAAAUUAAUUCUUGUGAAAUUCUUGUAUAUGUAUAUAGAGCUGUGUCAGGACAAUAAUAGACAUGCUAAGAAAAACUGAAACAUUUUAAGGCCUUAAAAGCAUUCACUGAGCAGCAAAAAGUUGGUUCUAUGGGUAAAAAGCUUGCCCUGUUAACAUGAGCAAUUGAGUCCUAAUUCCCAGCACUCAAAAUUUAGAGUCAGGCAUAGUGGCCUGAACUUAUAAUUCCAGUGUCUGGGAGUCAGAGGUUGAUGUAUCUCUGAGGCUCAUCUAGCCAAAUUAGUGAGCUUCAAAAACCAAGAUUCACAAGCUAAGAAGAUUGUCAGUUGGUUAAGAUGCUUGCCAACAAAUCUAACAACCUGAGUUCAAUCCCCAAUACCUACGAUAUGGAAGAAGAGAACCAACUUCAUCAAGAAUAUUAUAGAAGAUAUUAAGGUUAAAGAAAAAUCUGUGGCUCCAGGAAGAAAGCUUAACAAAUGGAUGUAUUUUGGGCUAAUGUCCUGAGUUUUAAGUUACUUAUUGUUUUUAGAAUUGAUAGGUGUUUGUUUGUUUUAAGGCGAGUAAAGAGAUUACCCAGAACUUAGAUAGGGAAAAAUUGGUCACUAACUCCAAGUAGAGAGUUGUGAUAAAUGUCUGUAACACCAGGUAGAGUGAACACAGACAUAUAUUAUAGAAGUUAUUAAGUUUAAAGAAAAAUAUGUGGCUCUGGGUAGAGAGCUUAGCAGAUAGAUAAAGUUUGGACUAAAUUCCUGGUUUAAUAUAUUGCUUCUUGAUAUUGGAAUUGAUAGAAGGUAUUUGGUUUUUUUAUGAAUUACUCUGCUCUUUAGCUCAUAUGGCUCAUUGAUGCCGACUAGUGAGGGUUUGUGGUUAUUUUUAUAUCUACCAAAAUAGGAAGCUCAGAUUCUCUUACCAUGGGGUACACAGGAAUUUUGGGUUAAUUUCUUGAUAUCACAGAAUACAAAAGCCUAUCAGGCUCAUUGUUUAGCUUACUUCCUUUUUAAAAAACUGUUUAAUCUUCAUAAUGGGUGUAACUUUGAGUUUUAUGGUUAUAUUAUUACUCUGGGAGAGAAUGCACGAUACAAGCUUUUCUGGUUACAGACUAAGGAAAACAGUAUUUUGGGAGAAAAUUUUGUCUUUGUGGUUUUAAAAAGUGUGAUUAGUCUGUGAAAACCUAACAGAGUCAUACUGAUCAGAUAUGAUAGAGGUAGACCACCCAAAAAAAUUAAUGCAGGAGAAUCAAACAAAAAGGAUUUCGAUUCUAAACUUUGGACUAGACAUAGUGUGCCUACUUGGAUUCCUGGUAUCAAGGACUUUCAGCUGGGUCCAGUCAAGACACAUUGGCUACAGCAUUUGCUUCAUUCUUCCUACCUGCUACUGCCAACGAUAUCUCAAUGCCCAUGUACAGCUUGAAGAAGUUAUAGUAGAGUCGUCACCCCACUUCCCUGGACUUUGGGGGCUGAAAGUGGUUACUCUAAACUUGUCUUUGUGAGGAAUUUAGUAAUGAUUUAAUUUACCAGGGAGGAAUUAGCUAGAUUGAGUUAUACAGUUGUAAUCUCAUUUGUUAAAUAAGCUAAAAUCAUAUCAUUGCUGUGAUAUAAAAUUUAUUUGUUAAAAGUUUAAAAGUACAAGGUUUAGAGCCAGUCCUUCAAUUGAUGUCAUUAUAAACUUCUGAGUUGAUUACACAUGUGAGUUAAGGGCCAAAUAGCAAACAUAUUGUCUACUUUGUGAGAGUACUUUCAAGAUAUUAUUAAGAUAUAAAGACAGCAGUAAAGAUAGUCUUAUAUAGGUAGUUUUCAAAAAUGUCAGAAAUCCACAAAAUAUGAGAUUUAAAGUUAUUUAUCUUUUGGUGAGACAUAUCUGCUCCUAACAGUUCCCCUUUGGAGGA